rnacentral:misc_RNA from 1 species
ACUUCUGCAUCUCUGUUUAGUACUGAAAUAACGUCCUUCACACAUGCAUUUCUUGUUCCCUCUUCACUUUGUUCCGCAGUGUCUUCAAGAGCAUUACCCAAUGAUGUCACAGCCACAGAAGUGAUUCUGGAACUUGAGUUGGAUGAACAAUCCGUAAUGAACAAAACUGAUGAUGAACUAACAUCAAGCAUGGCAACCUGCCCACUUUCAAAACCAGCAACAAGCCUGGCACCCACAGCUACAAAUUUUAGGAUGCAUACUGGAGAUUUUAUGAGGGAAAACUGAAAUCCAGUAUCACCUGGACAGAACUGAGCGUCCUGUUCAGCAUCUGUAACCAAUUUGGAGCUAGUUGUCUUAGACUGCCCCUUGAGGCUAUACAUAUGCACCUGGCCACAUUGGUGGCCGAUGGCAAGAUUUAAAGCAGUAGAGGAGAAGUCCAAAGCGGAUAUUGCUGUUCUAGGACCAGUGGCUUGAAUUCCCUGAGAUUCCAGAACAGCUAAAAGUGUAAAG